UCAAGUAUGGCCUGAAACUGGAAUAUGGCUCAUAUUCAGCCUUUCUAGAUAGAUUAAAGUCUCUGGUAAUUAAGAAUGUAGGGUCACAGGUGUGUGUCAUUUGAGAUUUUUAAACACGUAGCAGGCAUGGCUGACUUGUGAUGAGAAUAGAGGUGGGAUUACAGUUAUAGCCCAGUUUAUACAGCCUGUUCCUGAGUGAUCUCAUGAGAGCACAGAAACAAGCAGGAGAAAGUGUGGCAUAUUCUGGAAAGAAGAGGAGAACGGUCAACCAAAGAAAAAUAAAAGAGUUUUCCAUUGCACAGCAUGGCCUUCUUGUGCUAAAGGAAAUGAGGUAGCACCUCAGCACUCUGUGGGGGGCAUUUUAAGCAAAGCAAUAACCAACAAAAAGGACAAAAAUGAGAACACGUGGGAUGAAAUAAACCACAAAAAAGAUAAUUGUUAUAGUCUGAGAGCUGAAGCAAGGAGGCAAGGCCUUGUUGGACCUCAACUGGGAACAAUUGUGCAAGGUGAAGAAAACGAAGCGCAGAAAAGUUGGAGAACUUGCUCAGUGUCGUUCCUGAUUGUCAAAGCAGGGACAGACAUGAAGCUUCUACCCCUACUCCUACUCCUAAGUAUCUCUAAGUAUCUUGCUCUUUACCACACUCCUAUUUUACUAGUCAUUGGCUUAAAACAUCCUUAGCAAUAGAAUGUAUAAACUCUGGUACACAGGAAACUAGUGCCAGAAUAAUUUGACCUAAGAAUUCCUUUUCUGGACCACAGAUAAUACGCUAUUCAAAUAACAUCAUGCCAAUUCUAUUGUAUCAUGGCAUUCGAUUUGCUGUUAAUACAUUAAACAA